rnacentral:rRNA from 1 species
AACGAACGCUGGCGGCAUGCCUAAUACAUGCCAGUCGAACGAGACCUUCGGGUCUAGUGGCGCACGGGUGCGUAACGCGUGGGAACCUUCCCUUAGGUUCGGAAUAACUCCCCGAAAGGGGUGCCAAUACCGGAUAAUGUCUUCGGACCAAUGAUUUAUCGCCUUUGGAUGGGCUCGCGUUGGAUUAGCUAGUUGGUAGGGUAAUAGCCUACCAAGGCGACGAUCCAUAGCUGGUCUGAGAGGAUGAUCAGCCACACUGGGACUGAGACACGGCCCAGACUCCUACGGGAGGCAGCAGUGGGGAAUAUUGGACAAUGGGCGGAAGCCUGAUCCAGCAAUGCCGCGUGAGUGAUGAAAGCCUUAGGGUUGUAAAGCUCUUUUACCCGGGAUGAUAAUGACAGUACCGGGAGAAUAAGCUCCGGCUAACUCCGUG